UACGGAGGGGGCAAGCGUUGUUCGGAAUUACUGGGCGUAAAGGGCUCGUAGGCGGCCAACUAAGUCGGAUGUGAAAUCCCCAGGCUCAACCUGGGAACUGCAUCCGAUACUGGAUGGCUUGAAUCCGGGAGGAGGGAUGCAGAAUUCCAGGUGUGAAGCGGUGAAAUGCGUAGAGUAUCUGGAGGAAUACCGGUGGCGGAAGGCGGCAUCCGUGGACCCGGCAUUGACGGCUGAGGAGGCGAAAGCUAGGGGAGCAAACGGG
rnacentral:rRNA from 1 species